UGUGAGCUCGAUGAGUAGGGCGGGACACGUGGUAUCCUGUCUGAAUAUGGGGGGACCAUCCUCCAAGGCUAAAUACUCCUGACUGACCGAUAGUGAACCAGUACCGUGAGGGAAAGGCGAAAAGAACCCCGGCGAGGGGAGUGAAAAAGAACCUGAAACCGUGUACGUACAAGCAGUGGGAGCCUCUUUUAUGGGGUGACUGCGUACCUUUUGUAUAAUGGGUCAGCGACUUAUAUUCUGUAGCAAGGUUAACCGAAUAGGGGAGCCGAAGGGAAACCGAGUCUUAACUGGGCGUUAAGUUGCAGGGUAUAGACCCGAAACCCGGUGAUCUAGCCAUGGGCAGGUUGAAGGUUGGGUAACACUAACUGGAGGACCGAACCGACUAAUGUUGAAAAAUUAGCGGAUGACUUGUGGCUGGGGGUGAAAGGCCAAUCAAACCGGGAGAUAGCUGGUUCUCCCCGAAAGCUAUUUAGGUAGCGCCUCGUGAAUUCAUCUCCGGGGGUAGAGCACUGUUUCGGCAAGGGGGUCAUCCCGACUUACCAACCCGAUGCAAACUGCGAAUACCGGAGAAUGUUAUCACGGGAGACACACGGCGGGUGCUAACGUCCGUCGUGAAGAGGGAAACAACCCAGACCGCCAGCUAAGGUCCCAAAGUCAUGGUUAAGUGGGAAACGAUGUGGGAAGGCCCAGACAGCCAGGAUGUUGGCUUAGAAGCAGCCAUCAUUUAAAGAAAGCGUAAUAGCUCACUGGUCGAGUCGGCCUGCGCGGAAGAUGUAACGGGGCUAAACCAUGCACCGAAGCUGCGGCAGCGACACUAUGUGUUGUUGGGUAGGGGAGCGUUCUGUAAGCCUGUGAAGGUGUGCUGUGAGGCAUGCUGGAGGUAUCAGAAGUGCGAAUGCUGACAUAAGUAACGAUAAAGCGGGUGAAAAGCCCGCUCGCCGGAAGACCAAGGGUUCCUGUCCAACGUUAAUCGGGGCAGGGUGAGUCGACCCCUAAGGCGAGGCCGAAAGGCGUAGUCGAUGGGAAACAGGUUAAUAUUCCUGUACUUGGUGUUACUGCGAAGGGGGGACGGAGAAGGCUAUGUUGGCCGGGCGACGGUUGUCCCGGUUUAAGCGUGUAGGCUGGUUUUCCAGGCAAAUCCGGAAAAUCAAGGCUGAGGCGUGAUGACGAGGCACUACGGUGCUGAAGCAACAAAUGCCCUGCUUCCAGGAAAAGCCUCUAAGCAUCAGGUAACAUCAAAUCGUACCCCAAACCGACACAGGUGGUCAGGUAGAGAAUACCAAGGCGCUUGAGAGAACUCGGGUGAAGGAACUAGGCAAAAUGGUGCCGUAACUUCGGGAGAAGGCACGCUGAUAUGUAGGUGAAGCGACUUGCUCGUGGAGCUGAAAUCAGUCGAAGAUACCAGCUGGCUGCAACUGUUUAUUAAAAACACAGCACUGUGCAAACACGAAAGUGGACGUAUACGGUGUGACGCCUGCCCGGUGCCGGAAGGUUAAUUGAUGGGGUCAGCGCAAGCGAAGCUCUUGAUCGAAGCCCCGGUAAACGGCGGCCGUAACUAUAACGGUCCUAAGGUAGCGAAAUUCCUUGUCGGGUAAGUUCCGACCUGCACGAAUGGCGUAAUGAUGGCCAGGCUGUCUCCACCCGAGACUCAGUGAAAUUGAACUCGCUGUGAAGAUGCAGUGUACCCGCGGCAAGACGGAAAGACCCCGUGAACCUUUACUAUAGCUUGACACUGAACAUUGAGCCUUGAUGUGUAGGAUAGGUGGGAGGCUUAGAAGUGUGGACGCCAGUCUGCAUGGAGCCGACCUUGAAAUACCACCCUUUAAUGUUUGAUGUUCUAACGUGGACCCGUGAUCCGGGUUGCGGACAGUGUCUGGUGGGUAGUUUGACUGGGGCGGUCUCCUCCUAAAGAGUAACGGAGGAGCACGAAGGUUGGCUAAUCCUGGUCGGACAUCAGGAGGUUAGUGCAAUGGCAUAAGCCAGCUUGACUGCGAGCGUGACGGCGCGAGCAGGUGCGAAAGCAGGUCAUAGUGAUCCGGUGGUUCUGAAUGGAAGGGCCAUCGCUCAACGGAUAAAAGGUACUCCGGGGAUAACAGGCUGAUACCGCCCAAGAGUUCAUAUCGACGGCGGUGUUUGGCACCUCGAUGUCGGCUCAUCACAUCCUGGGGCUGAAGUAGGUCCCAAGGGUAUGGCUGUUCGCCAUUUAAAGUGGUACGCGAGCUGGGUUUAGAACGUCGUGAGACAGUUCGGUCCCUAUCUGCCGUGGGCGCUGGAGAACUGAGGGGGGCUGCUCCUAGUACGAGAGGACCGGAGUGGACGCAUCACUGGUGUUCGGGUUGUCAUGCCAAUGGCACUGCCCGGUAGCUAAAUGCGGAAGAGAUAAGUGCUGAAAGCAUCUAAGCACGAAACUUGCCCCGAGAUGAGUUCUCCCUGACCCUUUAAGGGUCCUGAAGGAACGUUGAAGACGACGACGUUGAUAGGCCGGGUGUGUAAGCGCAGCGAUGCGUUGAGCUAACCGGUACUAAUGAACCGUGAGGCUUAACCUUACAACGCCGAAG
rnacentral:rRNA from 1 species